rnacentral:rRNA from 1 species
UACGUAGGGGGCUAGCGUUGUCCGGAAUCAUUGGGCGUAAAGAGCGUGUAGGCGGCUCGGUAAGUCCGCUGUGAAAGUCAAAGGCUCAACCUUUGAAUGUCAGUGGAUACUGCCGGGCUAGAGUCCGGAAGAGGCGAGUGGAACUCCUGGUGUAGCGGUGGAAUGCGCAGAUAUCAGGAGGAACACCGGUGGCGAAGGCGGAUCUCUGGGCCUGUUCUGACGCUGAGGCGCGAAAGCUAGGGGAGCGAACAGG